GAUGAACGCUGGCGGCGUGCUUAACACAUGCAAGUCGAACGAAGCACUUUAUUUGAUUUCCUUCGGGACUGAUUAUUUUGUGACUGAGUGGCGGACGGGUGAGUAACGCGUGGGUAACCUGCCUUGUACAGGGGGAUAACAGUUGGAAACGGCUGCUAAUACCGCAUAAGCGCACAGCAUCGCAUGAUGCAGUGUGAAAAACUCCGGUGGUAUAAGAUGGACCCGCGUUGGAUUAGCUAGUUGGUGAAGUAACGGCCCACCAAGGCGACGAUCCAUAGCCGACCUGAGAGGGUGACCGGCCACAUUGGGACUGAGACACGGCCCAAACUCCUACGGGAGGCAGCAGUGGGGAAUAUUGCACAAUGGGCGAAAGCCUGAUGCAGCGACGCCGCGUGAGCGAAGAAGUAUUUCGGUAUGUAAAGCUCUAUCAGCAGGGAAGAUAAUGACGGUACCUGACUAAGAAGCACCGGCUAAAUACGUG
rnacentral:rRNA from 1 species